AGAAGAAGAAGAAGAAGAAGAAGAAGAAGAAGAAGAAGAGGAAGAAGAAGAAGACGGGCGGCGAGGGGCGCCGCUGGGUCGGGGCGGGGCGGCGAGGGCUCACGUUAUGCUCGUAGUUGGAGAAGGCUCGCGGCGGUCCGGCGGGUAGGUGGAGAAGGCUCGCGGCGACUCCAGAGGGACCGAGGGAUUGAAAGAGAGAGAAUUGAGAAUCUGAAUUUGAGUCGGUGGACUCAAUCACUCAAUACAGAUGUUAGAGAAUAGAGAGAGAGAGUUGAAUAGUC
rnacentral:lncRNA from 1 species